CUCACUGAAAUCCCUUGUGGGAAAAAAUAAAAAUAAAAAUAGAUUCUGUGUUCUUAAAAUGGAAAACAGAAUAGAAGGUGGAACUCCCGACUUUCAUGGCCCAGCAAAGGUGAGAGAAAAUAAACAAACUGAUCAUCACUGAGUCUUGUGUUUCAGAGGACCAGAAAAGCACUUAAUUUUUAAAUUUCAUCACGUAAAAUUAAGGUUAUCCUCUUUAUUUAAUAAAGUCGGCAAUGUCAUUUUUAAAAAUACUGAAUUUGCUUACAGUUUUGAACUCGCAGUGAAAAAGACAGUCUUGGGAAUAAACAAUCUUGCCCAUCGGUCCUUCAAAAUAAUUAUUUCAGUGAGCAGAAGAGAUAUUUAAAAAUACUAAGGUAAUUGGAGACUUCUGCUUUAGGCAACCUUUUUGUUAUAAAUUGUAUCUGUGUUACUGUCUGGGCUCAGAGAUGAGCAAUCAAUCCUGUAACAGUAAAACACAGAUCUGCCAAAUCAUCUGAAUCUAUAGACAGACCUGAAACACUUCAGUGAAUAAAAAUGAUAGAGAAGGAAAAAAACUGUCCAGAGCUUCUCUUUUACUUCAAAUCUCCAUAUUGAAGAUCUCCUUAAAAUUAAUUUCCCACUUCUGCCUCCUCACAGCCAUGACGGCGCUGAUGACAAGGGGGCAAAUACAAGCCAGCCCCUGGGAAUGCCCAGGUUUAUGACUUCAGCAAGGCAAAGAGAGGCAGAUUUCCCCGGCAGCCUACGUCACAACCCAACCCAGAAUACUUUCCAAGAAGCCCCCUUUGCUGCGCCACCCAGCAGCCUUCCCGUUAGGUCCGGAUAAGCUGCCACUCCAAAAAAAAAAAAAAAAAAAAAAAAAAAAGAAAAAAAAAGAAAAGAAAAAGAGAAUAUUGCUCAUCCAAGCCAAAUGCCCAGGCAGGAAUAUUUUUAAUUGCCGGGUUUCCUUUCUCGGCUCCCCCUCCACACCCGCCCCACGCACAGACAAAAGAAGCUUAGCUUGCGUGACCCAGCGCAUAAGAAGAAAAUCUGUCGCUCCUGCCACCACCAAGCAUAAUAGCUCUCCCGCUGUCAGACCUGCGCCGAGCCCGUAACGCCAGCGCCUGCCGGGGAUGCCACGCUACCCUAGCGCAUCGAACGGAGUGCCGAGGGGCUCCUGCGACCCCAGAAAGUGUCACAAAAUACACCCUUCCCUCGGUCAUGCGGAACCCCGUCCUCCCUUUGUUGAGCAUCCUCUCUCUCCCGCCGCCCCUUACUAGCGCAGCCGGCGCUUCACAAGCCAAGCCGGGCACAUUCGUGGCCGCUCGGCGGCGGCGCCAGGGCUGCGGGAUAACAAUAAGGAAAAAAGGAUAAAAAUAGUACUAAUGGAAAAAUAAAUAAAUAAAUGAACCCC
rnacentral:lncRNA from 1 species